UUUAACGGCCGCAGUAUUUUGACUGUGCAAAGGUAGCAUAAUCAUUAGUCUUUUAAUAGGGGGCUGGUAUGAAGGGUUUGACGAGGUGUUUACUGUCUCAUUUAAUUUGUAUUUAAAAUUUAACUUUUCAGUUAAAAGGCUGAAAUUAUAUUGGAAGACGAGAAGACCCUAUAGAGCUUUAUAAUUAAAAUUUUCAUUAUUCUUUGUUUAUUAUUUUUUAUUAUUAUUUUAAUUAUUUUGUUGGGGUGACAAAAAUAUAUAUUUAACUUUUUUAUUUAAUUAACAUUGAUUUAUGAUUAAUAGAUCCAUUAUUAGUGAUUGUUAGAUUAAGUUACCUUAGGGAUAACAGCGUAAUCUUCCUCCAGAGUUCAUAUUUACGGGAAGGCUUGCGACCUCGAUGUUGGAUUAAGAUGAUAAUUAGGUGUAGCCGCUUAAUAUAUAGGUCUGUUCGACCUUUAAAUUCUUACAUGAUCUGA
rnacentral:rRNA from 1 species